rnacentral:rRNA from 1 species
UACGGGGGGUGCGAGCGUUGUCCGGAAUCACUGGGCGUAAAGGGCGCGUAGGUGGUCUGAUAAGGGUGUGGUGAAAGCCCGGGGCUCAACCCCGGGUCGGCCGUGCCGACUGUUAGACUAGAGUGCUGUAGGGGCAGGCGGAAUUCCGGGUGUAGCGGUGGAAUGCGUAGAGAUCCGGAGGAAGACCGGUGGCGAAGGCGGCAUCCUGGACCGGUAUUGACGCUGAGGCGCGAAAGCCAGGGGAGCAAACGGG